rnacentral:miRNA from 12 species
UAGAUAUUCUGAAAGCCCAUUGUU